rnacentral:rRNA from 1 species
AUUGAACGCUGGCGGCAGGCCUAACACAUGCAAGUCGAGCGGAUGAAGGGAGCUUGCUCCUGGAUUCAGCGGCGGACGGGUGAGUAAUGCCUAGGAAUCUGCCUGGUAGUGGGGGAUAACGUCCGGAAACGGGCGCUAAUACCGCAUACGUCCUGAGGGAGAAAGUGGGGGAUCUUCGGACCUCACGCUAUCAGAUGAGCCUAGGUCGGAUUAGCUAGUUGGUGGGGUAAAGGCCUACCAAGGCGACGAUCCGUAACUGGUCUGAGAGGAUGAUCAGUCACACUGGAACUGAGACACGGUCCAGACUCCUACGGGAGGCAGCAGUGGGGAAUAUUGGACAAUGGGCGAAAGCCUGAUCCAGCCAUGCCGCGUGUGUGAAGAAGGUCUUCGGAUUGUAAAGCACUUUAAGUUGGGAGGAAGGGCAGUAAGUUAAUACCUUGCUGUUUUGACGUUACCAACAGAAUAGGCACGGGCUAACUUCGUG